UACGAAAGGGGCUCGCGUUGUUCGGAAUUACUGGGCGUAAAGCGCACGUAGGCGGCCAUGUAAGUUGGGGGUGAAAUCCCGGGGCUCAACCCCGGAACUGCCUUCAAAACUACAUAGCUAGAGGAUGUGAGAGGAUAGUGGAAUUCCGAGUGUAGAGGUGAAAUUCGUAGAUAUUCGGAAGAACACCGGUGGCGAAGGCGACUGUCGGGCACGUUUUUGACGAUGAUGUGCGAAAGCGUGGGGAGCAAACAGG
rnacentral:rRNA from 1 species